rnacentral:rRNA from 1 species
CCUACGGGAGGCAGCAGUGAGGAAUAUUGGUCAAUGGACGAGAGUCUGAACCAGCCAAGUAGCGUGAAGGAUGACUGCCCUAUGGGUUGUAAACUUCUUUUAUAAAGGAAUAAAACGAGGCACGUGUGCCUUUUUGCAUGUACUUUAUGAAUAAGGAUCGGCUAACUCCGUGCCAGCAGCCGCGGUAAUACGGAGGAUCCGAGCGUUAUCCGGAUGUAUUGGGUUUAAAGGGAGCGUAGAUGGGUUGUUAAGUCAGUUGUGAAAGUUUGCGGCUCAACCGUAAAAGUGCAAUUGAUACUGGCAGUCUUGAGUACAGUUGAGGUAGGCGGAAUUCGUGGUGUAGCGGUGAAAUGCUUAGAUAUCACGAAGAACCCCGAUUGCGAAGGCAGCUUACUAAACUGUGACUGACAUUGAUGCUCGAAAGUGUGGGUAUCAAACAGGAUUAGAUACCCUUGUAGUC